UUACUGCUAUCGAGGUUCGACUAAGCCAUGCGAGUCGAAUGUAGCAAUACAUGGCGUACUGCUCAGUAACACGUGGACAACCUACCCUCAGGUCGGGGAUAAACCCGGGAAACUGGGUAUAAUACCCGAUAGAUCUCGGCUGCUGGAAUGCAUCGAGUUCCAAAGCUCCGGCGCCUGAGGAUGGGUCUGCGGCCUAUCAGGUAGUAGUGGGUGUAGCGUACCUACUAGCCUACGACGGGUACGGGUUGUGAGAGCAAGAGCCCGGAGAUGGAUUCUGAGACACGAAUCCAGGCCCUACGGGGUGCAGCAGGCGCGAAAACUUUACAAUGCCGGCAACGGCGAUAAGGGGACCUCGAGUGCCAGGUUACAAAUCUGGCUGUCGUGAUGCCUAAAAAGCAUUGCAUAGCAAGGGCCGGGCAAGACCGGUGCCAGCCGCCGCGGUAACACCGGCGGCUCGAGUGGUAACCGUUAUUAUUGGGUCUAAAGGGUCUGUAGCCGGCCGGAUAAGUCUCUUGGGAAAUCCAGCAGCUCAACUGUUGGGCUUUCAGGA
rnacentral:rRNA from 1 species